rnacentral:rRNA from 1 species
GAACGCUGGCGGCGUGCCUAAUACAUGCAAGUCGAACGGCUUUUCUAUGGAAGCUUGCUUCCACUGAGAAGAUAGUGGCGAACGGGUGAGUAACACGUGGGUAACCUGCCCAUAAGAAGGGGGGAUAACAUCCGGAAACGGGUGCUAAUACCGCAUAGUUUUCUUGAUCGCAUGAUCGGGAAAGGAAAGACGGCCUUUGUGCUGUCGCUUAUGGAUGGACCCGCGGCGUAUUAGUUAGUUGGUGAGGUAAUGGCUCACCAAGACGAUGAUACGUAGCCGACCUGAGAGGGUGAUCGGCCACAUUGGGACUGAGACACGGCCCAAACUCCUACGGGAGGCAGCAGUAGGGAAUCUUCCGCAAUGGACGAAAGUCUGACGGAGCAACGCCGCGUGAGUGAAGAAAGGUUUUCGGAUCGUAAAACUCUGUUGUCAGAGAAGAACAAGUUGGAGAGUAACUGCUCCAGCCUUGACGGUAUCUGACCAGAAAGCCACGGCUAACUACGUGCCAGCCGCCGC